ensembl:lncRNA
GUUUAUUAGGAGCUGUUACUGCAUCUUUAUUGGAGCAUGUCAGACCUGAACGAGAUCGUAUGCUUCCCGUGAGAAACCAGCGGCUGGGCAGGCAGCCACUCAGCUGCACCUCCAGCAUACCAGCCCGACCCUCGUGCCUGCAUGAAUGUUGCCAUUGUGCAGAUGGCAGCAGGACACGUAGCUUGAAGGACCCCAGCACAAGUCAGGCCAUCCAGCUGCGGUACAGCACGGCUUUCCCGGGGGGAAGUGCGCAUGAGCAGCCAGGGCAGAUUUAAGGACAGCCUUCAGAACAGAUGCAGGACGCUGCAGUGCUGUAGCAGUGAUCAUGCUGAAAAGUUUGGAAUGGUUUUAAGUCGGCUGAAAGAUCACACUCCAGUGCCUCAGCUGCCUGCCUUGAGCCUAACCUGAUACUGCCAGAAGAUAUUUUCACAGACUGAGAAGGACCAAACUGAAUGGAAUCUCACCUGUGAGAGCUUUCAGAUCUGAAAGCUCCAAAUGCAGAAAUGAUUUGGCAACAAAUAUCACAUUGGACAUGCCUGGUCAAAGCCCUGAUUUUUGGUCUGCUUCUGCAGCCACUAAUGACACAGCCUUCCAUUAUCACGCAGCCAAACUUUGUCCUGUUGUUGGCUGAUGAUCUUGGUAUAGGAGAUGUAGGUUGCUAUGGGAAUGAUACUAUCAGGUAAGGAAACAGCAUAUUAAUGAACAGAGCUGAUAUUUGAUGCAAGCCUUCAGUCCUCUGCUCAUCACCAGCCAUUAGAGCAGUCUUCAAAUUCAUUUACUGGAGAACUGGGGAGAUUUCCUAUGGGAGUCACUAUGUAAAUGUAAAUCACACUACCUGGAGUAUCUUAUGCCCUAGAGGGCAUUCCCAGGGCCAGCUCUGCUAUGCAGAGCUGUUCUUAUCUGGGAAUAUGUAAACUGAGAAAUGCUAAGCACAUGCAUGUACCUGGAGAUAGAAACGCUGUCUCCUCUUUCAAGUGCUUUGCCAUUCUUUCUAAGACUUAACAUCAAGCAAUUCACUGAUGUGAAUUAUGUCACUAGGAAAUACUUCUGUUUACAUAUUUGAGGACAUAGAAUUUGCCUUUUCUUUGGAAAUUAUGCCACAUUAAUGCCUUUUCGCCUCCUACCAGCUUGUCACUGAACUUUGUGUGAUCACCCCCAUUAGCCAGCAAAAUUCUCAGACUCUCACCCUGAUUGACACCAACUAGCAAGCUUCUGGCAGGCAUCUCUGCAUGGCUCAGCCUCCAGCAUAAGAUCAUCCUCAAGGCAUGAGUUCUUUUCUUCAGUAGCAGUGGGGUGCCUCUCACGAACAGCCUCCAUAACACCUAGGAAAUAAGAAGGAAUAAUUGCCUUGAAAUUUAUCCAGAUAGCUUUUUAUUUUUAAUGAAGGGAAAAGAAAAAAGAAAGAAAUAUCUAAUCUUGAAUAAAAUAAAAUAAAGAUAAAAUAAUUCAAGUAGAAAAAAUUUCCCAAAACUGAGGUAAGUGUAUUAUUCCUCAUUCCCAUUCCCUUGAAGGCCCUGUGAUUGAUAUCUGACAGUGCUGGUUGUGCUUUUAGGACUCCGAACAUUGAUCGCCUGGCAAGGGAAGGAGUGAAGCUGACCCAACACAUCACUGCAGCUCCACUUUGCACCCCCAGCAGAGCAGCGUUGCUCACUGGCAGAUAUCCCAUUCGAUCAGGUUUGCCUUGUACAGUCAAAUGGUCUUAAAAUAUUACCUUAUUGCUGAAUGGAACAGUGCUAUAUGGUGGGCACGAAAGAAAUGAGAGUGCUACAGACAUGAAGGCACAUGAAGACUA